rnacentral:misc_RNA from 1 species
GCAGGCCCUGAUAAUGAUGGUAUAGCAAAUGCACGAGAAAGGGCCCCAACUACUGAAAAGUUCUUUCUCUGGUCAAUUACAAACAAAUUUGCCUUUGCUGAUGCUAAAGUUGCAGGAGCUUCAAGCACAUUGCAAGUCAGUUCAUCCUGCAGACGCUACAUAAUAGAAGAAUUUCGAAUUGCGAAACCACAUUCUCUGUUGGGCAAGUGAAAUUUCUACAUAAUCUCAAAGCCUGCUUUCUGCCCCCAAAAUGGAUUCUGGAGUCCCAG